CGUGUUGGACAGACCAGCGAUUGAAAAGUAAAAGCAAUCUAUCCUCUCCGUUCCGGCGCCGCCUAAGGUGAGAAGCUCAUGGCUAUGGCGAUGGCCACCGCCGAAGGCGACUCAAUCGAGUUUCCAGUUGACAGAUUUCCCCUGCCGGAUCUCGCCGGCGGAGACCCAUUUGUGACCGCCGGAAUCACCAAAACUCUCGUAUGUGCGGCUGCUGAGUCCAGCAUUGGAGAUGCUGGAGAGGCGGCAGUCACCGUACAAUUAUAUUUGCACAGCACUUGCGAUGGAGUGGCCCUGUCAGCACCAACCUCCCAGCAAUCUUCACACAAAGACGGCCCUACAUCCCCUCGAUGGACACGAAGAGAACAUCGAACGCAGUGAAGCAUUUUUUGAAAUACAUAUUUCUGAAUACUGCAGAGUCCGUGUCGGUCGUGCACCUUCAGAACGUCAACCAUGUGCUGCAAGGAUGAGUGCCCUGGAAAAAAAUAUUUCGUCGAUAUGCAGAGAAGAAAAGUGACACUGUCAUAGUUCCUGUAGUUGGUAGCAACUUCGAUUCACUUGGGGAAGCUUAUGAUUAUUACAAUCUCUAUUCAUGGGAAAUCGGAUUUGGAGUAAGGUAUGGAAAGAGCAGGGUAAAUGUUGAAAGAACAAAAUGCAUGCAAGAGAUAGUUUGUGGGUUCUCUGGAAUCCCAAAGAAGAGUAACAUACGGACAUACAGAUGCAGAUGCCCUACAAUGAUACGGUUGCUUCGGUCUAAUGACAAUGGCUGGUACAUAAACGAGUACAGACCAGAUCACAAUCAUGCACUCACUGGAAAAUAUGGUGAGAAAGUUUACUGGCCUUCACACAGGCAUAUUGAUAUAUAUACACGGGGUGUUAUCAAACAGCUCCGUGAAAAUAAUAUCAGCAUUGGCAAAGUGUACAAUAUAAUCGGCAGUUUCUUUGGUUCAAUGGACAAUGUAUCAGUCAGCAAAAGAGCUCUGCGGGGGUUGUGUGGCAAGAUCAAUCGAGAACAAGCAGAUAAUGAUGUGAAGAAGACAAUAGAUGUUUUGCAGAGUUAGGAGCAAAAGACUCUGGGUUAUACUACAGAGUACAACAUGAUGGAGAGAGCCGCAUACGGAACUUGUUAUGGUCAACAGGAGCCAACAGAGCACAAUACCACUAUGCUCACAGUUGAUGAAUUCAAGACUGCAAGGAAGCAAUUAACCAAAAGAUAUGGUUUGCAAAAACACAAUUACGUCACCCAAAUAUAUGAAACGAGGGAAAAAUGGGCAAAACCAUAUUUUAAUGGAAAGUUCUGUGGAAAGAUGACAAUCACACAACGUAGCGAGAGUGCCAACCAUAUGUUGAAGACUUAUGUUCCAGCUAGGUGCCCCAUGCAUCUAUUUGUUCGCCAGUACAUGAGACUUCUUUUUGAUAGAGACGCACCAAGAUAGUAGCCCCUGUUAUGAAAAUAAACACACCACUCGAGCUGCAUGCCAGCAAAAUCUACACACGAGCCAUAUUAGAAAAUUUUGUGGAAGUUAUAUAUGAAGCAGGACAAUACAAAGUAGAAGAGGUUACUAAAGGUAAAACAUAUUUUGUUCGACGAUAUCAUCCAAAAAAACAUGAAAAAAUGUGCAGGAUUGUAUACAAAGUGGAAGUUGUUGAUGGAAGGGCAAACCUGAUAUGUGAGUGUGGCAAUUUUGAACACACUGGCUUGCUCUGCUGCCAUGGGGUCAAGUUAAGAAAGCAUUCUAUUCUCCUCGUAAAACAACUGUCUCAAAAAGCAUAAUUCAUAACACUAGAUGUGCAUGUGAUAGGUACUUGAUUUCCUCGGCAUAGACUGGUAGGAUCAAGUACUCUACCAGGUCUAGGGCGUAGGUGGUAAGGGAAGGAUGGAGGGAGACGUGGCGAGGAUCGGGCGCGCCGGCGGCAGGGCGCCGUCGCGGCUAGGAGAAGGGCGGCGGCUAGGGCUGUUGGCGGCUAGGGUUCCGGCUCCUCAGGGAGCCGGGCAAUAGGAGAUAAUAUUCUUCUUAUUGCUUGCCUUCAAAAAGAGUCUUACAACCUAUAUUUAUAUCCUAGAUAACUUGUAGAAGAAUCAACCUAAGAUAACUUGCCUAAGAUAACUUGCCUAAUCUGAAAAUAAAAACUAAGAUAACUUGCGGGCCUAAGCCGGCCGGCCAUAACAUAGACCAAAUACCUGCAAAACAUAUUAUGAAAAGUUGGACAAAGGAUGCAAGAGAUGUACUGCCAGCUCACCUGUCACAUAUUCAGAACGACAACAUUUAUGUAAAUUCAGUAACAUCCAGACAUUUGAAUCUGUACACACACGCACUCGAAGUAGUGAGGUUGGGAGAUGCAAAUCCAGAAGCAUAUGAGUGUGCAAUGGAAAUGUUGAACCAAAAAUGGAUAAACUAUCACCAAUAGCUGCUGUCCGUGAUGGAAUCGGAUUGGAAGACAGACAGAACUCUGCAAACAAAAAAUAAAGGUAGAGAAGCUCUUCCAGCAAUUGUACAAGCCAGCGGCAAUGCAAGUGAUGCAGAAGGAAGUGCAGUUAGGGAUUUUAUAGGAUUAAAAGCUCCAGAGCGAAAAAGAAAGGCCGGACGACCAACCAACAGCAGGGACAAACCUCCAUAUGAUGAUCGAGGUGCAAAAAGCAAGAAAUUCAAGCAACGAGCAACUGCACAGGAUGUCGGCAAGUGCAGCACAAGCAAACGGAUUCGCUUGUGCAGUAUAUGCCGAGAACCAUGACACAAGAGCCCCACAUAUCCACAGAGAGAUCUUCCCCAGAAGGAGAGGAAAUAGGCAAAAUGCUCAGACUGUGGAAUCGGUGGGCACAGGAGAACUUGCAACAACCUAAAAGUUGUUCUCCAUGUUGAACCGGUUACUCUGGAAACAAAUGUCAUUACCACGAUUGAAUUAAACUUGCAGACUCUCUGUUGUUGAGGCCUCAGCAUGCGGUAUUUAUAUAUCAUCUGUGUAAUAAGACACAGCGUUUGUUGCUGUGUGCUACGUGUUGUGUUUGUUAACGAGAGAACCUGUUCAUCAACAAGUCUCAUCGCUGUUAAACUACAAGUACAAUCUAUGUACGAGCAUAAAUUCCUGAAAGUUCACCAUUUUAUUACCGGAUCCUGCAGUAAUUCUUUCUUACUGCCUA